AUCGCACUGAACUGAAGAAACGACUUACCCAGCGUCACUCUGCAGAACAGCAUCUGCCUGUAAAAUCAAGGACACACACGCAGAUUGAAACUUUUAAUGGAUUAUGCAGGAACACCGAUUUGCACCAAACCUGGUGGAGGGAUGGGGCACGGGCCAGGGAAGAACACAUUCAACUUUGGUGCUGAUCCGGUUAAAGAGGAGAAUGAUGGAUGUCGAUGAAACAGUGACUUUGGAAUACCACUGCCAAACUGGAACUCCUUGUCAUCCGGUGCAAGGUCGAUCAGCACAGUGCCCUGGCUGGAGCAGUGGAACGUCAGGUAUGGGUUUGCACCUACAAACGCACAUUUCGAAAGUGAAUCAAGCGAAGAAUAAAUGACGCCACUGAGCUUUCAGGUAUCUCGUCCACAGAUCAUGUAUUCGAAUUUCGAAUCAUGUUAACACUUUAAGUUUAUGGCCUA